rnacentral:rRNA from 1 species
GAUGAACGCUGGCGGCGUGCCUAAUACAUGCAAGUCGAGCGAACGGACGAGAAGCUUGCUUCUCUGAUGUUAGCGGCGGACGGGUGUGUAACACGUGGAUAACCUACCUAUAUUACUUGGAUAACUUCGGGAAUCCGGAGCUCAUCCCGUAUAAUAUUUUGAACCUCAUGGUUCAAAAGUGAAAGCCGUUCUUGCUGUCUCUUAUAGAUUGAUCCGCGCUGCAUUAGCUAGUUGGUAAGGUAACGGCUUACCAAGGCAACGAUGCAUAGCCGACAUGAGAGGGUGAUCGGCCACACUGGAACUGAGACACGGACCAGACUCCUACGGGAGGCAGCAGUAGGGAAUCGUCCGCAAUGGGCGAAAGCCUGACGGAGCAACGCCGCGUGAGUGAUGAAGGUCUUCGGAUCGUAAAACUCUGUUAUUAGGGAAGAACAUAUGUGUAAGUAACUGUGCACAUCUUGACGGUACCUAAUCAGAAAGCCACGGCUAACUACGUG